AACGAACGCUGGCGGCAUGCCUAACACAUGCAAGUCGAACGAGACCUUCGGGUCUAGUGGCGCACGGGUGCGUAACGCGUGGGAACCUGCCCUUAGGUUCGGAAUAACUCCCCGAAAGGGGUGCUAAUACCGGAUAAUGUCUUCGGACCAAAGAUUUAUCGCCUUUGGAUGGGCCCGCGUUGGAUUAGCUAGUUGGUAGGGUAAAAGCCUACCAAGGCGACGAUCCAUAGCUGGUCUGAGAGGAUGAUCAGCCACACUGGGACUGAAACACGGCCCAGACUCCUACGGGAAGCAGCAGUGGGGAAUAUUGGACAAUGGGCGAAAGCCUGAUCCAGCAAUGCCGCGUGAGUGAUGAAGGCCUUAGGGUUGUAAAGCUCUUUUACCCGGGAUGAUAAUGACAGUACCGGGAGAAUAAGCUCCGGCUAACUCCGUG
rnacentral:rRNA from 1 species